GUGCCAGCAGCCGCGGUAAUACGAAGGGGGCUAGCGUUGUUCGGAAUUACUGGGCGUAAAGCGCACGUAGGCGGAUAUUUAAGCCAGGGGUGAAAUCCCAGAGCUCAACUCUGGAACUGCCUUUGAUACUGGGUAUCUUGAGUAUGGAAGAGGUAAGUGGAAUUCCGAGUGUAGAGGUGAAAUUCGUAGAUAUUCGGAGGAACACCAGUGGCGAAGGCGGCUUACUGGUCCAUUACUGACGCUGAGGUGCGAAAGCGUGGGGAGCAAACAGGAUUAGAUACCCGGGUAGUC
rnacentral:rRNA from 1 species